ensembl:lncRNA
AAAUUAAUCUGGCCUCAUAAAAAACUGCAUCCAAAAUAUUAUAACACACAUUGAAAAUAUUGGUUAAUUUAUGUUAAUGCAUCAUUAAUAUUAGACAUACCGAGAGUAGAUGAUAUAUUACAUAGCCUUCAUAGUACACACCAUAUAUAAAAGAAAAGAAAAGAAAAAAAAGUUUUGGGCAAACUACAUCCCCCAUGAUGCAGCGCGGUGCUGUGCGCGUGUGCGCGCCUGUGGAAUGAAGAGCGCACUUGUUGAGUUUGGGAACUUCCAGAGGCUUGAACUUCUCGCUUUGGACGCAGCGGAGCUCUCUCAUCAACAUUAUCAUCAGGCCACAUGGAUUCCUGCUGGCUUUUUAUUUCCAGGACUAUGUUUUUCUCUGUCGGAGUGAAUGUUGAUUGUCUCGAGUGUUUUACGCGUUAGACGCGCACCGUUACAGCGCGCAGGAGGAAUGCAUAACAGUACUGCGAGGAUGAAGAAGACGUGCCUUUAAUCGAUUUAUAGCUAUAGGAGAGUUCAUGUUUGGUGGAGAGAUAUGGGAUGCUUUACAGAAGGACGAUUUAUGGACUAUCAUUGGACUUUAAAUGAGACUGGAGAAUGGAGAACAUCGCUGCUCUGCCAAGAUGCAUCAACCACCCAAAUCCGAUGGGAAACCACGGCAUGCUGUCAUCUGUUCAGACGGAGUGACAUUUGUCUGGACCACCCAUUGGGCUCGGAGGAGAGAGAUUCCCUACACGCCGUCUCUUUGGAAUAUUAAUGGGCUUCUCCUGGGAAAACUGCCCACAGAAUAGGCCACUCCAUCGCUGUCUCUGUUUCCGCUCAGCUGUCCUGAGGGUACGUGAGGGUGUUCGGUGCAAUCCGGCCUGGAGAAACCUCAAGUACACCUCAAACUUUUGUUUUGAUGUUUCAUUAAGGACUCUUGGAAAUUGAGCAUUUCUUUUUUUCCCCCUAGAAUAUAUUACAGCUUUUAUUACACAAUAAAAAGCACAGGAACGAUUACAUUUAUGAUGUCAAAUUCCUCAGUCUCAAUUUUAUAACCGCAAUCAAUAAGGAGACAUAUUGAUUGAAAUGAGGGGAUCAUUAGCACGUGAGGGAUUGGGGAAUGAUGACAGUGAUGAUUGGGGAGGUGACAAUGAUGCCGAUCACCAGUGGUUGUCAUCACUGGAGCUGCACUCGAUGGCAGAAGCCCAGACGUCUCAUCUGUUUGGCCGUUAUGAGAGUGACCGUCCUAAUGGCUUCCACAGAUGGCAGAGCUCGCUGAAGUCAUUGCACUUUUCUUUCAAUCCCUUUUGCAUUCUUUAUCUGUAUUUGAGUCUCUGUUACUUGCUUUCAGUCAUUCCACUAUUUCCACUAUUUGAGUUUUCGGCAUAUUUAUGUGAAGAAUCCAGUUUUUUUACAAGCCUGCCAAGCUGUGAAUGAAAUAAGAUGAAUUUGAAAUGGUAGGGAGGUCAAUAACAAAUUGUGUUAGAAUGCU